rnacentral:rRNA from 1 species
AGUGAACGCUGGCGGUAGGCCUAACACAUGCAAGUCGAACGGCAGCACAGUAAGAGCUUGCUCUUACGGGUGGCGAGUGGCGGACGGGUGAGGAAUACAUCGGAAUCUACUUUUUCGUGGGGGAUAACGUAGGGAAACUUACGCUAAUACCGCAUACGACCUACGGGUGAAAGCAGGGGAUCUUCGGACCUUGCGCGAUUGAAUGAGCCGAUGUCGGAUUAGCUAGUUGGCGGGGUAAAGGCCCACCAAGGCGACGAUCCGUAGCUGGUCUGAGAGGAUGAUCAGCAACACUGGAACUGAGACACGGUCCAGACUCCUACGGGAGGCAGCAGUGGGGAAUAUUGGACAAUGGGCGCAAGCCUGAUCCAGCCAUACCGCGCGGGUGAAGAAGGCCUUCGGGUUGUAAAGCCCUUUUGUUGGGAAAGAAAAGCAGCAGGUUAAUACCCCGCUGUUCUGACGGUACCCAAAGAAUAAGCACCGGCUAACUUCGU